GACGAAGGGGGCUAGCGUUGCUCGGAAUCACUGGGCGUAAAGCGCACGUAGGCGGACUCUUAAGUCGGGGGUGAAAUCCUGGAGCUCAACUCCAGAACUGCCUUCGAUACUGGGAGUCUUGAGUUCGGGAGAGGUGAGUGGAACUGCGAGUGUAGAGGUGAAAUUCGUAGAUAUUCGCAAGAACACCAGUGGCGAAGGCGGCUCACUGGCCCGAUACUGACGCUGAGGUGCGAAAGCGUGGGGAGCAAACAGG
rnacentral:rRNA from 1 species